rnacentral:rRNA from 1 species
CCCGAAGCCGGUGGCCUAACCCCUUGUGGGAGGGAGCCGUCGAAGGUGGGAUCGGCGAUUGGGACGAAGUCGUAACAAGGUAGCCGUACCGGAAGGUGCGGCUGGAUCACCUCCUUUCUAAGGAG